UUUAUUUGAUAUUACUCGAAUAAAAUUCAGUUUUCACCAAGAAGAAACAUUUGAUAAUUAAACUCAAGGUCCAUUAUAAAUCGCACGUAAAGUGAUAAAAAAAAAAUGUUAAACAUAAUGUAGUACUUUUUUUAUAAGCUUCUUAAGUUCACAGUUUUACUAAAAAUUACUGCAUUUCAAAAGAUGUUUAUCCAAACUUUGCUCAGAAUCGUGUUUCGUUAGCAAGAAUUUAUCGUUACACAAAUCUAUAUUGUAAUUAACUGUAUGUAUCUUACCUUAUGAGCUUCUCUGUAGAUACCCACAUAUUAGCAUCAGAAUCAGAUCUUU